GUACACUACAAGAAAUAAGGGUUUUCGCGACAUUUUUUUAACGGCGUUUUCUUAAACGUCAUUUUUAUUAACAUUUGUCGACGUUUUAAAAACGUCGUAUGUUUAGUGAAUUAAAACGACACCGUUUUAUGGUCAAAGGCGUUUGAAAACGCCUCCAAAUGCGGUACGUGACACGCGCCUAUUUUGAAUAUGAGAGUAAAGCCUUUGUAAACCCUCAGUCUCCAAACACAAACAUUGAAUACUCACGUCGCCUCUCUCUCUCAAUCCUCUCUAAACCCUUAUUUUGAAUCUCACAUUCAAAUCUCACAGAUUCAUUGAUUUCGAAGCUCCACCUCCACCACCAUCUGCACCAGCCAGGUAGCGAGAUUCACCGAUUCACCGAUUUCACAGAUUCACCGAUUCAAAUCUCGCAGAUUCACCGGUUUCAGAUCGAUCUGCACCGCCACCGCGAUUUCGAUUCAGAUCGGUCUGCACUGUCACCCGAUUUCGAUUCUCUCUCUAGAUCUCUCUCUCAGAUAUUCAUCUUUGAUUUCAUCUUAAAGCGAUUUCGAUUUCUCUCUCUCUCGAUUUCAAAGCUCCACCGCCACCACCAUCUAUGCAAGCUUCCAUGGCUUAGCACCUCAUCUCCUUAUCUCUUCCACUUUGUAUAUACAUAUACAUAUAUGUAUAUUUAUCGAUUCUCUCAUGUACAUACACGUAUUUGUAUAGACACCGAUCGAUAAUGGAGCAGAGCUUCUUCGAUUUGAUCUAUUUUCUACACUGCCCAGCUCCUGAAUGGGUAAAAAGUUAUUGAUGGAAUUUUAGGCAAAAUAUGUUCCUAAUAUGGUUGUAUUUAGGCUUUGUUUCACAGGAGGAAAAGAAGUUCAUAAAACAACAAUGUGCUGCAUGCAAAAUUUGGCAAAAGCUUUCUCAAGCUAUGAGUUGGAAGUACUGGUUAAGCGGGAAGGGCUGCUUCAAUAUGCUCAAGGUGCUAUUGCAGGGCUGAAACUAAAUUCUGAUAUUGCAAGGUUCCCUAAUAAAGCAUCAGCUUCUGAGUAAUCUUACACUUAGUAUAGCUGUACAUACUGUGUUGGAGGCAUUGCGUAAACCUCCAGACACAAAAGUAUUUGCUUAUGGAAUCUUGACUUUGGAGCAGUUUCUUGACCGCCUGGUGGAUCUGCCACUGCUUUGCAAUCAUAUUUUGCAAAUAUCUCAUUUACAUGGUACUCAUGUAGAGCUUAUUGCAUUUAUAGAGCAUACUCUGGCUAGAAUAUCAUCAAGCCACUUGAUAUCAAAUGGAGGCAGCAGUUCUUUUACUGAUCCCCACAGUGGUUCUAUUCCCACUACAGUGGAGAUGGUGGAGGUAUAAAAUUAGUUUCUUCUAUUGACCCAUGCAAUGUAUUUAGACCCCAUAAACACCAAUCAGUUUGAUAAAUUUAUUUCUUGUUGGAUUGACUUUAGUUGAACUAUUAUUGUGUUUGAUAUUUUUUGUUAGAAUGGAAUGUUAUUUUAAAGCCC